rnacentral:rRNA from 1 species
CCUACGGGAGGCAGCAGUGAGGAAUAUUGGUCAAUGGACGAAAGUCUGAACCAGCCAAGUAGCGUGAAGGAUGACUGCCCUAUGGGUUGUCAACUUCUUUUAUAAAGGAAUAAAACGAGGCACGUGUGCCUUUUUGCAUGUACUUUAUGAAUAAGGAUCGGCUAACUCCGUGCCAGCAGCCGCGGUAAUACGGAGGAUCCGAGCGUUAUCCGGAUUUAUUGGGUUUAAAGGGAGCGUAGAUGGGGUGUUAAGUCAGUUGUGAAAGUUUGCGGCUCAACCGUAAAAUUGCAAUUGAUACUGGCAGUCUUGAGUACAGUUGAGGUAGGCGGAAUUCGUGGUGUAGCGGUGAAAUGCUUAGAUAUCACGAAGAACUCCGAUUGCGAAGGCAGCUUACGAAACUGCCACUGACAUUGAUGCUCGAAAGUGUGGGUAUCAAACAGGAUUAGAUACCCUGGUAGUC